rnacentral:lncRNA from 1 species
ACCUCCCUUAGGGAUCUGUCAGCAUGAAGGUGGGGAUGGAUGUCCAAGGCUGUGAAUGUGGCUCCUGGGGGCGGGCCCAGCAGAUGCCAGAAUCAAGGCAGAGAGGAAGAAUCACAAAGAGCCUGGGGCUGGCUGGAAUUUUCUCCCGUGCAGUCGUCCAGCCUCCCGUGGCAGGGAGCGGCAUCUCA